rnacentral:rRNA from 1 species
CCUACGGGGGGGCUGCAGUGGGGAAUAUUGGACAAUGGGGGCAACCCUGAUCCAGCCAUGCCGCGUGUGUGAAGAAGGCCCUCGGGUUGUAAAGCACUUUCAGUGAGGAAGAACGCCUGGUGGUUAAUACCCAUCAGGAAAGACAUCACUCACAGAAGAAGCACCGGCUAACUCCGUGCCAGCAGCCGCGGUAAUACGGAGGGUGCGAGCGUUAAUCGGAAUUACUGGGCGUAAAGCGCGCGUAGGUGGCUUGAUAAGCCGGUUGUGAAAGCCCCGGGCUCAACCUGGGAACGGCAUCCGGAACUGUCAAGCUAGAGUGCAGGAGAGGAAGGUAGAAUUCCCGGUGUAGCGGUGAAAUGCGUAGAGAUCGGGAGGAAUACCAGUGGCGAAGGCGGCCUUCUGGACUGACACUGACACUGAGGUGCGAAAGCGUGGGUAGCAAACAGGAUUAGAUACCCGAGUAGUC